AUUGAACGCUGGCGGCAUGCCUUACACAUGCAAGUCGAACGGUAACAGGUCUUUCGGGAUGCUGACGAGUGGCGAACGGGUGAGUAAUACAUCGGAACGUGCCUAGUAGUGGGGGAUAACUACUCGAAAGAGUGGCUAAUACCGCAUGAGAUCUAUGGAUGAAAGCAGGGGACCUUUGGGCCUUGUGCUACUAGAGCGGCCGAUGGCAGAUUAGGUAGUUGGUGGGAUAAAAGCUUACCAAGCCUACGAUCUGUAGCUGGUCUGAGAGGACGAUCAGCCACACUGGGACUGAGACACGGCCCAGACUCCUACCGGAGGCAGCAGUGGGGAAUUUUGGACAAUGGGCGCAAGCCUGAUCCAGCAAUGCCGCGUGCAGGAUGAAGGCCUUCGGGUUGUAAACUGCUUUUGUACGGAACGAAAAGUCUUGGGUUAAUACCCUGGGAUCAUGACGGUACCGUAAGAAUAAGCACCGGCUAACUACGUG
rnacentral:rRNA from 1 species